rnacentral:rRNA from 1 species
UACGGGGGGGGCAAGCGUUGUUCGGAAUUACUGGGCGUAAAGGGCGCGUAGGCGGUCAGCACAAGUCAGUUGUGAAAUCUCCGGGCUUAACUCGGAAAGGUCAACUGAUACUGUGCGACUAGAGUGCAGAAGGGGCAACUGGAAUUCUUGGUGUAGCGGUGAAAUGCGUAGAUAUCAAGAGGAACACCUGCGGCGAAGGCGGGUUGCUGGGCUGACACUGACGCUGAGGUGCGAAGCGUGGGAGCAAACAGG